AAAAAUUAAUGGAUUAUUGUGAAGAGUGAAUGAGAAAAAUAAUAUGUGCAAGCAAGUUACAGAAUAAAAUUCCAGGUCUUGAGGAAAUUAUGCAGGGCCUCUAUAAGAAGUUUUGGCAUCCCAGCCCUGUUUUGAUGACUAACUGAAGAAUGAGGACCUGAUUCUACCAUGUUGUCAAACUGCUCUGUGUUCUGCCAUCAUGUCCACAUUCCAGGUGGGCAAAAGAAGAAAGGAGUAGAAGAAGGGUAUGUCUCCUCCAUUUAAGAACAAAAAAAGUUACUUAAUGAUAUCUGUUAUAUCCCAUCCUCAAUAGCUGUCACAUCUGACUCUAGGGACCUUAGAAAUGUUGAGUUUAUUGUUGGUGUCCAUAUCCAGUUAAUA
rnacentral:lncRNA from 1 species